rnacentral:rRNA from 1 species
AUACAGAGGGUGCGAGCGUUAAUCGGAAUUACUGGGCGUAAAGCGCGCGUAGGUGGAUGUUUAAGUCGAAUGUGAAAGCCCUAGGCUCAACCUGGGAACUGCAUUCGAUACUGGGCAUCUAGAGUAUGGUAGAGGGAAGUGGAAUUUCCGGUGGAGUGGUGAAAUGCGUAGAUAUCGGAAGGAACACCAGUGGCGAAGGCGGCUUCCUGGACCAAUACUGACACUGAGGUGCGAAAGCGUGGGGAGCAAACAGGAUUAGAAACCCCAGUAGUCC